UACGUAGGGUGCGAGCGUUGUCCGGAAUUAUUGGGCGUAAAGAGCUCGUAGGCGGUGUGUCACGUCGGCCGUGAAAACCUGCAGCUUAACUGUGGGCGUGCGGUCGAUACGGGCAUCACUUGAGUUCGGCAGGGGAGACUGGAAUUCCUGGUGUAGCGGUGAAAUGCGCAGAUAUCAGGAGGAACACCGGUGGCGAAGGCGGGUCUCUGGGCCACUACUGACGCUGAGAAGCGAAAGCAUGGGGAGCGAACAGG
rnacentral:rRNA from 1 species